rnacentral:rRNA from 1 species
GACAGAGGCCUCGAGCGUUAGGCGGAAUCACUGGGCUUAAAGCGUGUGUAGGCGGAUCGUUAAGUGCCUUGUGAAAUCCCACGGCUUAACUGUGGAACGGCUGGGCAUACUGGCGGUCUUGAGCCAUCUAGGGGCGACUGGAACAAACGGUGGAGCGGUGAAAUGCGUAGAUAUCGUUUGGAACGCCAAUGGUGAAAACAGGUCGCUGGGGAUGCGCUGACGCUGAGACACGAAGCCAGGGGAGCAAACGGG